CUCGCGCUUAUCAACCAAUUUUUCUUGCUUAAACAAUUGAGGACGGGAGUUCUAUUUAAUAGAUACAUCCCCCGUGAUCUAUCGUGCGAAACAUUAAAUACGUAUUUACACUUAUUGAGCGCAUUGAAAGGAAGCAUCCCCAGUAGUACCUACAAGCUUUAACGUUCCUGCUCUGCCCUAUAUAUACUGGCCUCUAAACUGUGAUCCGAACUAUUAAACUUGCUCAGAAGAUCUCUAGCUAGUCAUUUGCAGCUCGAAAAUUCAGCAUUGAGAAGGAAUAGAGAAAUCUUCAAAAUCCCUUGUGAUUGCUUCAGUGGCCAUAGAAGGAGAAGCAAUAGCAAAGGUGGAAGCCUCAAGAGUCCUACCAGCUGAAGCAUUGACAACAGCUCUGGACUGGUUUUGAAAGGCGUUGGGUGUGAGGCGCCCAUGAAUUGCCCAUGGGAGUCUGGGCGAUCAAAGGAGGCGGAAGCACAAUAAUUUAGGGUGGACUGUUCCCAAAAUUCUAUAGAAACAAGGUAAGAAUAGUCAGUUUUAGGUGUAGGAUGACGUUAGUGUCAAUUCGAGUCAAUAUUCGGAGGAGGAAAGGAAAGGAAUCUAGCGUGAAGAAAAGGAGAAGCAACAGCAAAGGCGGAAGCCCUAAGAGUCCGACCAGCUGAAGCAUUGAUAACAACUCUUUAAAAGCCUCAAUCAAGAGUCCUACCAAAGUGCAUGCAUUUUGAGAUUCUAGCUCAAUAUGCACUUCCGUUUUGACACUUGAACACUUCUCAACUUUUUUUUUGGACACUUUUAUGUCUUCAAUAUAUCAAACAUAGCUGUGGAAUUAUAGUAAACCAAUAAUUAUAGUAUGUAGUACCCGAAUUGAUAUUAUUCAUAAAAUAAGAAAAGUCACUAGCUAGUAGCAGCAUGCUACUCUUACAAAGUAGCAGAGGACGAAACGACCACUAAACCCACGUUGUCAAAUUGCUGAAGAGUUAUCAAAACUGAUUAACUAUACAAUAAACUCUAUCCCAUCUAAGAAAAGAUGUUCAUUGAAGAACUCCAUUCCGUGCAGAACUCCCAAUUUUCUCCAGUGCUACUCAGAAUCCUCCUCUAUCCUGCAACAUCGAUGCUGAAGGAUGAUGAUUGAUAUGGCCAACAACCUCGAAUCCCCAGAGGCUGAAUAAUGGCUGGGUAUCAUAAAUGAAAGGCAUGCUAGUGGAGAACAACUUGAAGAAAUUAAGACGUGGCUAAUUUUGCAUCGACAUUCUACUAAAACACGGAAUGCAUAGGAAGGACUGGCUUCCAAUAAUUUACGAAGAACUGGUCCCAAAAUUCUGCAGAAGCACAUCAAUUUAUGAUGGACCAGGAAGCACAAUAAUUUAGAAUGGACCUGGGAACCGUCCAUCCGUCCUGGUCCAUUCUAAAUUAUUUUGCUUCCUGGUCCAUCAUAAAUUGAUGUGCUUCUGCAGAAUUUUGGGACCAGUGCUCGAGUGUCGGAUCAAUUCAGGUACUGCAUACAAUUAUUAUUCGGCUACUACAAUUCCACAGCUAUGUUUGAUAAUUGAUAUACGGAAGACAUAGAACUUGAUCAAAUGAAGUUGAGUGGUGGUGUAAGCACUGUAUCUCAAAUUCUUUUGCUCAUAAAAUUAGGAGGCUGGCAUUAACUAUAAUAGUCCAUUCUAUCUGGCAAGCGAGGAAAAUACAAAUUUUCCAGCAGAUUCAAAUUUCUUGUGUAUGAUAGCUGUGUUGAAGUGGUUGUCACCACUAUUCAGAUGAUUGUUGCCUUGGCAUGUUGUCACCAAUCUUAAAAAUUAGUAUAUAUCCAGCAAAGACCUUUGUCCAGAUCUAAGGACAGGAAUUUA